UUUCCAUUUGAACUGGUUAGUAACAUUUGCAGAAAUGGGCAACCGGAUCCUUUACAUAAUCAUGAAAUCUGUUCGUAAACAAACAACAGACUUUGUUGAACAUUUCGCGUUAGCAUACCCUUAAUUAUUUAAUGAAAUAGUUUGAAAUAUUCCUGUAUGUGCAUCAGCAUUAGUCAAUUUUAAUUAAAGAAUGGUAAUUGUUAAAACUGGAGGUGAGUUUUAUCAUUGAAUAGCUUUUUCUGGAGUCCUUAAACAUGGCAAGGAUACCAGUAAUGAGUGUACCAGCAUCCAUUAAUAAUCCUGUUGCUGUUAUGAAUACCUACCGCUCUUAUGUAUCAAUGCUCAAAGAUCCUGUUGCAAAGGAUGAAAGUAAAUUAAAAGCUUUACAAGAAUAAAGUGGAGAGCUUGAAACUAUUGUUAGUAAUCCACAAUAUCCUUCAUUUUUGGAUCAGGCUAUAAAAAUUUUUAUCAGAAUUUUAGGAGAUGGAGAACCAGAAUUUCAGAAAAAAACACCCAUGCCUCUUGCUUAUAGUACUUUAGCUGAUCUUGUUCAUCAUAUGAGACAAUAUUUAUAGUUGAUGGAUCUGACUAAGGCUGUAAAUGUGUUCUCAAAAAAUGUUCAUGAUGAAUCUUUAGUAACUGCAAUUCAAACAAUGUCUUGUAAGUUUAUUCUGAAUUUAGUUGAAUGCAGUAGAAUAAGAUCUGAUCGAGAAAAUGGCAAUUUUCAGGCAAAAUUUGGUUUUCCUGCUUCUGAGGCAGCUAAUUAUUUGACUAUAGUAUGUUCAUCGAAAACAGUUACUUGGAGAAUUACGGCUUGCAAGUUUUCUGGUGAUUCAAACACUAAACCAAGUAAGCAGUACCAACCUAAUUAAACUUAUUAGAUUGAUCAAGUAUGCUCAACCAACUUUGGCUAUUUAUAAGUUAACAUUCCCUACUCCUGGACAAACACUAAUCCAAGUAAGCAGUACCAACCUAAUGAAACUUAUUAGAUUGAUCAAGUAUGCUCAACCAACUUUGGAUAUUUAUAAGUUAACAGUCCCUACUCCUGGACAAGUUGUUCAGCAGCGACCAAUGAACAUACAAACUGUUCGCUCCAAGGAAGAAAUGAAAGUUUUAGAACAUCUUGUUUGAGUGAUUCUAGCAAAUUCUUUUCUUGCCACCUCCCACAUAUUUGCAACAAUGCCACCUCCCACAUAUUUGCAACAAUGCUGGUAGAAUAUCUUCUAAAAAGGAUGGAAGAAAUGGAUCCCUAUUUACAUCAAAUAGUAAAUAGAUCCAUGGAGCUAGCUUUAAGUGCUAAAGAACCAUAUAAUUAUUUCCUUCUUUGUAGAGCCUUGUUUCGGUCUAUAGGAGGUGGUAGUCAUGAUUUGUUGUAUCAAUAAUUCUUACAUUUAUUACCAAAUUUAUUGCAAGCCUCUUAGUCGGGAGUAAGAUCACAUUAAAAGACCCAUGAAUGCUUUUAUGAUAUUCAGCAAACGCCAUCAAGCUCUUGUUCACCAACGUCAUCCAAAUCAAGAUAAUCGAACAGUGAGCAAAAUCUUAGGGGAAUGGUGGUACGCAUUAGAGCCGGAACGAAAGCAGAAAUAUCAUGAUCUGGCAUAUGAGGUUAAGGAGGCUCAUUUCAAGGCAUAUCCUAACUGGAAAUGGUGUAGUCCGGACCGUAAAAAGUCUAGCAUCAGCUCCACCCCCAAAGAUAGCCCAAAACCUCUUGGCAAUGAUGAACCUCUUACACCAUCGUUAACUUCAAAAGCAGCCCAGAUCUCGCUCUCUAUCACAGCUGCCUGAUCCCUGGCAUGCCAGUCUGUUGACGAAUUCUUUUGAUUGAAGCAGCUCUGAAAAAAAGGUUUCAGAUGAUUUAAGACAGGACAGUGCUGAUAUUUCUGGUUUUGCUGAGAAGUCUAAAAAAAGAAGAGAGAUGGAUAAUUUGCGAGGGGAUUCUGACACCACCAGUGAUGAUGAAAGAAUGGUGAUAUGUGAGGAAGAGGUAGAUAAUGUUUCAGAUAAAUCACGUUUAUGCACUGAAGAACCACCCAUCGA
rnacentral:sRNA from 1 species